UCCCUCAGGGAUUGCUCCCCUCAGCCCCUCGCUUGUCCCGCAGCGAGGGACGCUCCCCUCAGGGCCUCACCUCACUCCCCUGGCACUGCCCCACGGUCUCACCCUCAUGCAAUGGCUGCUCCCUCAGCCCUUCACAUCCCGCCACCCUUAGCCCGGACCGAGUGCUGCUCCCUCAGUGCUGUUCUCCUGAGUUUCCCUCUCAACUCUCUUGGCUUGACUUACUGGGCCCCUCUGAAACUCCCCAUUUCCCUCCAGCAAAAUUUCCCUCUUGGCACCUCACGUCCCCCUCAUGGCUGUUUCUCCUCUCCCGCACAUCUGCUCACCCCUAUUUUGUCUGUCCCCUCACAGAAUGAUUUCCCUUUCUCUCUUCCCCUUGUCCCCCUCCAUCACAGGAAUCCUGUCACCUCUCAAAGAGCUUUCCCCAGAGGACUCGUGAGCAGGCAGACGUUACAGAGAGAAGAAUGACUGCAGAUGGACCCUGAUCCUCCUGUGGGAGCCCUGGGAGGACUCAGAAGAGAGGGAGUGCUGAGAUUGGAAGAUUUUAUGGCAGGUGGGAUGUGGCGGCUGAGUUCUGGCAGGGGAGAUAAGCCAGGCUCCCAAAGGUUCCUUGGAGCAAGGGAAAAUCUCCUGGGUCUGGAUUAGUCACAACAUUUCAUGGCUGUUAUUGUUUUGUUCCCAGAGUGGGAGUUUGACAUUGUUUUCAUUCAUCCACACGAGAGAGGAGUAGAGGGAGAGAAACACAAAGUGUGCGUGCAUUUUAGUGGGAGUAACAUUCCACCAAAAAAGCAUUCCAUCUUUAGAUCUUGUGGUACAAUCAUGGUGCUAAUUGAGUAUCAUGCACAAAAUCAACACAAACAGCAGAGCUGGGAGUCAAACGGGAUGUUCCCUUCACAACCAAGGUGAAGCACAUCAGCAGAAGGGGUUUGCAGUGUUUUCCAGAGGUUUGGAUGUACCUGUUCUCCAAAGGGAUAUUUCACAGGCUGGGUAAGCCCAGACUGAAAAUGCUUUGUCUGCAGCUCCCCCAUCCUCUUUCCAAGGCCUCCUGGACUGCUUUAUCCCAGAGGAAUGUGGCUGCCACAGCAGCUCCCAGAUGAAGAAUCCGUGUUUGAGAUGGCUGUGGAUUCAAUCCACUGCCUUGGGAUGCAAGCCAAGGUCUUUUAUUGGAAUGAGGAGCUGACUCAGAGCCAGGAGAGGCCAGUGGAGCUCUGGAAGCUUCCACAGCAGUAGCCUUUUCUGGAAGUACCUAAAUGCUGCCCAUCAGUGAGGAAGAGUGGUUGGGAACUGAGCAGAUCCCUGAGUGCUUGGCCUGAAUUUCUGAAUCUUCAAUGUCUCAGAAGACUCAUUAUUACUAUCCAAAAAUAGCCAGAUGGCACAAACCAGGAAAGGCCAAAUAAUUCAUCACUCCACAUUUGGGCUGGACUGGCCCCUGGGUGAAGCCAGGAUGGUUGAAAAUCUUUUCAUGCUGCUACAGGCAGGAGAAUUUCUUCAUUUGUGAUGUGGUAGAGGUGAGUUUGUGGUGCUGCACUGGAAUGUCCUGUGCUUAUAAAAUCCUGGUCCUCACAGGGAAUAGGAAUUGUUUUAUAAACCUUCACUUCAUGCUUAACAACAACACAGUGUUUCUUUAAAAAGAACAUCACAAGCAGCCUACAGAGAACCAAGAAGAACUAAACUUCAACUAAAAUAACCCCACAAACAAUCAAUUAAUCAACAGAAGAACCAGAGCAGUGCUGACAAUCAUCCAAAGCCACCAGCAUCACCCCCUUCGUGAGAUUUUCUUUUCCCAGACAGGUGACACCAGCCCAGCCCUCCUCCUGCAGCACAGGGACCACAUUUUGUGUGCUGGGUUCCAUUCUGUUACCAUGUGCCUCUUGAUUGGGCCUGACAAGCACAUCAAAAAGCCAUUUUUUAGUCUUGAUUACCCAGUCUGCCCAGGCUUGGGGUGGUGGCAAUUGAAUGACGUGAGAAGUUGAAGCUCAGGGUGACAGGAUGGGAAGAGUGAUAGAAAUUCUAAUGAGAAUUAUAAAUCCUCAAGAGCAGCUGCACUGCCUGGCUCACACUGGGACACCCUUCUCAGGCACUUGUGAAAUCAGCAGUUAUUUCAAGGGAGCCCAAACCACACAAUUUGUGCUGUUAUUUGUAUUAUUUUAAUUCUAUUUUUUAUUCAAGCUGUCAGGCAGUUUGGGGAUUAAUGGGUUGUCUGUGUUAGAAGGCAGCUACAGAAUGAUGUGAGACAUUGCCUUGAUGAAGUUCUGUUUAAUUACAAAGCAGGCAAGUCUUUCCUGGAGUGUUGAAUUAAAUAAACCACACAUUUUUAUGCUCAGUGCUUCAACUGAAGCCAGGAUUUGAACAAAAAAACUCCAACCCUCUCGAAGUUUCUCUUGCAUCAGCAGCCUCAAAAGGCAGUUUUCCUUUUUCUCCCUCUGUGCCCCUGCUCUGGGCAUGUGUUUGGCUUUUUUCUCUUCCACAAACACAAAGCUCCAGGUUUCCAGUGGCCUUUUUGCACUUUGUCAGGCCCCAGGGAAGCCGUGUGGACGAUGUGCAGCGCACAGGAGCUCUGCCAUUUGCCUCUCCUUUGAGCAGGAGCUGCUGUGCUUUCAGUCCCCUGAUUCCACAGGGACAUUUGUUCAGUGUUUUUGUAUUUUCUCGAAGGAAGAACUCUGGUUCCCCACCAAUUUCUAUGAAAUUCUACAAAAGAGAUUUUCCUUUCAGCUCAGCAGGACACUCUCACUAGAAAUUUGAAUGGUGCCAUCAUUUUGAGGGUGCAUCGCUCUUUUUAGAGCCUUAUUCUGAAAAAUGCCCUUCCUCCCUUGUGAACCCAGGACUGCUUUUGUACAUCUUGCUUUGGGUUUUAUUUCCUCUUGUCAAAAUAGCCAUUUUGAACAAUAGGAUCCCAUGUACAGCACAUGGUGAUACUUGAAAGCCUUAAUUUUAAAAACAAUUACAUCCUGAGGCAUCUGUCAGGCCAGUGGAAAACCUCUACAUCCACUAGGACAGACAAAACAAAUGAAGAUGGAAUUGCUUAUGGUUUAAUCUUUAUUUUCUCCAUGAGAUUUUUUUUCCUUGUGCUCCUUGGGGUGGUUCUCUGCAUCCCACUGGCUUGUUCCAAUGGAUUGGAGAAAUCAUUUUACCUUUGUGUGGUUUCUUGAUGUUUUCAUGGCAGUUUUUGACCUGUGCUGGUUUACAUGAGGCCAAAGUGCUCAGCAGAUGUAAAAUAUGAGAUUAUGAUCAUCAUUAAAACCAAUCUGCAGGCAAAGCACCAGGAACUGCUAAUUGGGCAACUGCAGAAACACCCAAUGGCUCCAGAGUCUGAGUUGUUGAGCUCUGCUGCCCUGUACAAAUAAAACAGCCUAAAUUCUGCAAAAAAAUGACAUUAAAACUGAUAAAUAGGACUAUGAGAACAUUUAUUCUUUGUGACACCUGUGCCAGUCUUCGACACAGCACAACUUUUGUAUUUUUUAGUCUGAAAUGUUGAUAUGAUCUCAUAGAACAAGAUCAGAUUAAUGGAUCAGGUCCUCUCAGUGUCAGCCAAGCAGAGACUGCUUAUUCUUUUAUGUACUUCAGAAAAUGGACAUAAAUUUUCCAUUUUCUGAAGUUGGAAACACUUCUUGAGACCAGACAUGAGAAAGUAUUUCUGCUUUCUGCAGUAUGUGAGCACAGACCUCUCUGAAAAUAAGUGACUUGCUCAGGAUCACACAGAAAAUCAAUAUUGCUGAGGAAAAAACCAUUGAAUUUCUUUCAUCUCCAGUCCUAUUUUGACUACUGUGCUUCCUCUCUCCUCAUCCCUAUUACAACUAAUAAGUGUUUAUGUCGGAUGGAGUGUGAACCAUGCUUAGGUCAGAGAAGAGGCUGGCUCUGUGUGCAAUCCAUCAUGUAAAGUCAUUUCCCCUGAGAUAAACACUGAAAUAAUGGAGGGGGGAAAAAUAGAUAAAGUGAUCAAAAAAAGCCAGCUAGCUGACAAAAAUGGGGCUUUUUUUGACUGAUAUCUGGGAGAGGGUUAAGAUUGCUUUGAUCUAAACACCCCAAAAACAAAGAAAUAAUUAAAAAGUAACUAAAUAAUGAAAAAUGUCCUGGUUGCUGCGUAGCACCCGUGUCAAAUUCCACAUGCAACCAUCCCAGACCCACCCUCUGCAGUGACUCAGGCACUGCCUGGCUUUGCUCAACCAGUGGCUUCCAGAACAAAACAUAGCAAGGACUAUUAUGAAUAAGAUCCUUAUAAAAAUGAUUUAAUUGCUCUAAUUGCUUAAGCAAUGAGUUGUCAGACACUCAGUGCAGACUGCAAUGCAGGAGAACUGGAGAAAUCCAAUUAACAGGUAAAUAGUGGCUGGGAACUUCAGUUCCUCUUCCCAAACCAGGACAGGAGCAGGAGCUCUUUAUGGUGUAUCCAUAGGAUUGGCAUUUAUUUAUUCUUUAUUGAGCUCAUGGGGACAUCCACAGUGAAUUUCUUUGCAACAGUUCUGAACUCUGAGGGGAGGGAGGGCAGGUUCAGAUGGAAAUACAUGAGCAGGAAAAGAUUCAGCCUCUCCUUAAUGACAAGGCACAUCUUAAGCACAGGUAAACUGAGCAGCCAGUCCCUGGGCAUCUGGGAAUUUGGCAAAUUUUCCUCACCUCUUGGCCCAAAAGGUGUGGGAAUCCCAUGGAAGCACCUUCACACUCCAGCCAGAACAUCCUCUCUUAAUUAAAGUUAAACCCAAGAGAGGCACGGCUGAAAUGCCACAGGUAACUGUUCUCUACAAACCUGGCACUGGAAAGGACUUUGUCUUGCAGAUCAGCCUCAGUUUCUCCUGAGGAUCCUGGUCCCGUUCAUGGGAUUCUAAUUCCAGAGGCAAGGGCAGUGGCUGUGUGUCUGAGCCCACUCUCAGCUGUGGCAGCUGGACAGAGCCUCACUGGGCUGGAACUGCAGCCACCAGGUCACUGCACAGCUGACAGGUAAAAAAUAAGUGCCUGGAGAUAACAAGGCAUCACAUCUUAUUAUCAAUUCCCUGGGAAAGCCAACAUCCCUCUCUUUCCUCUCCAAAGGAUGCUUUAUUAUAAUUACAUAUCACUUUAUUAGGCAGCUGAAGCAAAGAGCACAUUUGAUGCUAAUGAAGUGCUGCUGUGGUUGAGGCUGUCACUAUUUUUGGAGCUGCACAUCUCCAGCACUUUUCAUUGGGUGAUGGAGGCUUUGGAUGUCUCUGGCUUCUUCUGUGGGGGCUGCCCAGGAAAAAGCAGUGACUCAGCGAGCCCAGCUGCAGAACUGUUCACAUGGAAUGGGAAAUGCUGGGGACAGCCAGAACACACACAAAGGCUCUUUAUGUGCUGCAAGUUGUGCUCAGGUAGGGGCCAGCAUUAUCCGGAUUAAAAACCCCCCCUCUGUGCUGGUCACCUGCACAGGCCGCAUUUUUCCUGUUUUCCCUCCCUCACCCUGCAGCUUCUCAGAAAGAAGGCAGAUUUCACAGAACUCAGGGAAAAUAUUUGGGAGGCUGGAGACAGACACAUCACAGCUGAUCACUGGUGCCUCUCCUUAUGGAAUACAAGGGUUUUUCCAUCUCCAUUUCCUGCAGCAAAGCCUGAGGAGCUGCUCGGCCUCGGGAAGGCAGGAUUCGGUGUUCCAAUUUCUCCUGCUCCCACAUCCCUUGGUGUGACACUGGCAUCCAGCUGGGCCAGUGACUCAGCUCAGGGAUUGAAAGCAGAAAGAUCCCUCCCUCCCUUGCAGGAUGUGUUCCUGUCACCACCUCUCACACAGGUGACAGGAACGGGGCAAUGCCAGCACGUGAGGCCACGGCUCCAGACCAGCAUCUGUUGAUAACCAACUCCCAUUUCCAAAUCACUUCCUGGCAGACAAAGCCUCCCUAGCAAACACAAAGCAGGAAUGUGUCAGAGCAACCAGAAUUCCAGAGAACACAGUUGGAUUUUCACACCCAAAUGGUUUUGGGGCUAUUUCAUUACUGCAAUUUCCCCAUUCCCAGAGGGAAGGGAAUGACUGGAGCAUUAAUACCUCUUGCAGUUUUCCCUCAAGAGCACAAGUGUGUGACUGAAUUUGGGGUUGCAGACUGCAAUAGACAUGUUCAUACUCUUCUGAUUCUCCUUGCUGCAUGGGGCUUUCCCCAUUUCACUGUUCCCACACACCAUUUUUAAUUUAAGUGAUCUUUCUUUCUAAGCAUAUUUGGUUAAGGUUUUUCUUAGAGCUACCUUAGAAGUAGCAGGGAGAUGUGUACAACCCUUCUGUUAUCUUUUUAGAGCCCAUUUAUGUCAACAGGCCAUUCUCAGAACUGCAGGAAAAAUCUCCCUUUAACUUAAAAAUCUCUGUCUAAUCCCAUUAUCCAGUAAACCACACACUGGAGAGGAUGUAACCAACCACAGACAAAACUCCAGUGGCAGGGAAAAUAAAGAACAUGGGGCAGAACACAGCACAGAGCAAGAGAUCCCUCCCAGCCAGGCCAGGAAUUCUGCACUGGACACUGCCAGCUCACUGCCUCCCUCUGCUGAGCCUCACUGAUACUUCAGAGAGAAUUCCAGGCUGGUUUGGCUUGGAAGGGAUCUUAAAGCUCAUCCUGUUCCAACCCCUGCCAC